GGACCUGCCUGCCGAUGCGUCAUCUCGAGGGCGACGCCAGACGUCACUGCCUGGACCGGGAAGGUCAACCGAGCCUGAGGGAGGGCGCGCGCCGAGUUUUCGCCCGGCGUUGCCGGCGCGUGCGCGUGGCUUCCCAGGCGGCCCGGACUCCGACGCUGGUCCCGGAGGCCGGUGUUUCGGCUCAGCCCGGGCGCGGUCAUGCUGUUCCGGCCGGGCGGUAGGUGGCUGCGGCCGCUGGCCGUACUGCCGCUGGGGGCCCGGGACCCGCCGCUGGUGCGGGCCUCCGCGGGCGGCAUUCGGCGCUCUGCUCCGCCGGUGUGGGCGGCGGCGGCGUCCGUCUCUGCGGUCGCCUCUGGCGGCCCCGGCAGCUGGUACGAGGCGCUAGCCGCGUCGGCGCCGGUGCAGGGCACGGAGGAGGUGCUGCUCGGCGUGCACUCCGCCACGGGUCUGCCCUGGUGGGCCUGCAUCGGUCUCACCACGGCGGCCCUCCGCGGCGCCGUCACGCUACCCCUGGCCGCCUACCAACACUACAUCCUGGCCAAGGUGGAAAAUUUACAGCCAGAAAUAAAAAGCAUUGCAAGGCAUCUUAACCAAGAAGUUGCGGUUCGUGCAAAUCAGUUGAGAUGGUCCAAAAGAGUUGCCAGGCUCACUUAUCUAAAGAAUAUGCGGAGGCUUGUUUCAGAACUGUAUGUUCGGGAUAACUGCCACCCGUUCAAAGCCACCGUAUUGGUCUGGAUUCAGUUUCCAAUGUGGAUCUUCAUGUCUGUUGCUCUGCGGAAUUUUAGCACCGGGGCCACACAUUCAGAAGCAGGUUUUUCUGUUCAGGAACAGUUAGCUGCUGAUGGAAUCCUGUGGUUUCCUGAUCUCACUGCACUGGAUUCUACUUGGAUUCUGCCUAUUUCUGUUGGUAUCAUCAAUUUAUUAAUAGUGGAGAUUUUUGCUCUGCAAAAAAUAGGAAUGUCUCGUUUUCAGACAUAUGUUACGUACUUCGUUCGUGCGGUAUCGUUGUUGAUGAUUCCAGUUGCCGCGACAGUACCUUCGGUACAACUGGACACUCAAAUGCCCCUGGAGACACCCCCGUGGGAAGCCAUGAACUGUAACUGGGUUUCUGUGCCUAUUAUUUUGGAGGUGGAAGGCUGUGACAGUGUCCUAGGCAGGUAGCCCAAUACUACCCACCAGCAGUUUGUAGGAACAAAGUAACGAUGCCAACUAAGGGAAGUGUGAAACUUGAAUUUUCUUUACCUGUAAGGAAGGAGUGGGCAGAGUGAAAGAGACUUAAAUGGCCUUGGAGUGAAGCUCUGGUAACAAGAGUACCUAUGUGCAACACAAAUAUGUUCAGUAAAUUCUUGUUGAUGGAAGGAAGGCUUCAUGGAAGGAAGGAUUGAUGGAGAGAGAUAGUUCACUGUGGAAGAAGCUAGCAGCUAGGCUAGAAGCCCGUGUGCAGAACUUGGGGAUCCCAGGCUGUGAACCACAGUGAAAACAAAGCCCACAGCCAAAGUCUGCAAACCACUAUGAGAAUCGUCAGCCAUCACUUGGAAGCACCAGAGCAUCAGGCAUUGUCCAAACGCAAUUGUCAGAGUUCUUGCACCGACGCAGUGUUUCCCAUUCAUCUCCCCUCCUUUCUCUCCCUGCCAAGAACCCAACUCAAUUUAAGCAGGCGCAGUCUUCCAAGUCUUGGCUGUUAGUGUCCCCAAGAGAUUUCAGGGAGAUGCAGCCUUGGCUGAGGGUCAGAGCCAGAGGCUCCGUGAGGCUCCGUUCCCUCAGUGAAGGGCACAAUGUCUGCGUUUGGGGAACAGCUGGAGCUUCAGAGGGAGAAAAGCAGUUUGGCAAGUGAGGAAAGAAUGUACUUGUCACUUCAAGAGGCAAGAAACUUCAGUUUCUCUCCUGCUUCUGCCAGCAAGUGUUUAUUGGAAAGGAGAGUGGUGGUGAUGGCAGGUGACUUUUGGUUAGGACUUUAUGGAAUGUUUCAUGUUUAUUUUACCUUUUCAAAGAGCAGAUAAAUGUACAAAUCCCACAGUAUAACUAUUCUGAAUUCUGCUCUUGUUUUUAUUGGAUAAGUGAGUGUUGUUCCUCUGAGUUAUUUUUAAGAAGGCUGCCUCUGGCCCAUUUUGAAACGCUGCUUGCUUUCCUUGUGUGUGAGCUAAAAUUUGUUGUAGGGAAUUUGGAAGAAGGUAGCAGAGGGUAUUAAAUGGAAGGUGAAGGCCCACGGGAGGAAGAACCCUGUUCUGAGAGCACGAGCUGGAUUUACAAGGGGGGAAUCAGAUGGGCCUGUUCAGACAAAACAUGGACUUUUA